GUGGAGUGAAAAGUAUCUUAAUGUUUUUGAAGAAGCGCAAAAGAAAAAUCAAUUUCUUUUAGUAAAAGUAGAGGGAGUAGGUACAUGGAUAGAAGACCUGUCACCCCCCUGAUACUCAUACAGCUCAGAAAGCAAUAUGCACAACAGGAAACAAAGAGACAGAGGCUGAUUAGGUAAGUAUACACCAUAAAAUUAAGAGUGUGAGUUAUCUGAGAUAAAAUUGCAUAAGCUAAGCAAAAGCUUAGCUGUAAUAACAUAUGCAAUGGAUCCUGAAUUGUAUGCCUAAAGAUGCA